rnacentral:rRNA from 1 species
CCUACGGGUGGCUGCAGUGGGGAAUAUUGGGCAAUGGGCGCAAGCCUGACCCAGCAACGCCGUGUGAAGGAAGAAGGCUUUCGGGUUGUAAACUUCUUGUAAGAGGGAAGAGCAGAAGACGGUACCUCUUGAAUAAGCAACGGCUAACUACGUGCCAGCAGCCGCGGUAAUCAGUAGGUGGCAAGCGUUGUUCGGAUUUACUGGGUGUAAAGGGCGGGUAGCCGGGCUGACAAGUCAGUUGUGAAAUUCCGGGGCUCAACCCCGGACCUGCCUUUGAAACUGUUGGUCUUGAGUAUCGGAGAGGCAAGCGGAAUUCCUAGUGUAGCGGUGACAUGCGUAGAUAUUAGGCGGAACACCAGUGGCGAAGGCGGCCUGCUGGACGACAACUGACGGUGAGGCGCGAAAGCGUGGGGAGCAAACAGGAUUAGAUACCCCAGUAGUC